rnacentral:tRNA from 2 species
GGGUCUGUGGCUCAGCCAGGUAGAGCGAAGGACUCUUAAUCCUUAUGUCGUGGGUUCGAAUCCCACCAGACCCG